UGCCUUACACAUGCAAGUCGAACGGCAGCGCGGGGGCAACCCUGGUGGCGAGUGGCGAACGGGUGAGUAACAUAUCGGAACGUGCCCUGGAGUGGGGGAUAACUAGUCGAAAGAUUAGCUAAUACCGCAUACGAUCUAAGGAUGAAAGCAGGGGACCGCAAGGCCUUGUGCUCCUGGAGCGGCCGAUAUCUGAUUAGCUAGUUGGUGGGGUAAAGGCCUAUCAAGGCAUCGAUCAGUAGCUGGUCUGAGAGGACGACCAGCCACACUGGAACUGAGACACGGUCCAGACUCCUACGGGAGGCAGCAGUGGGGAAUUUUGGACAAUGGGCGCAAGCCUGAUCCAGCAAUGCCGCGUGAGUGAAGAAGGCCUUCGGGUUGUAAAGCUCUUUUGUCAGGGAAGAAACGGUGGAGGUUAAUACCUUCUGCUAAUGACGGUACCUGAAGAAUAAGCACCGGCUAACUACGUGCCAGCAGCCGCGGUAAUACGUAGGGUGCAAGCGUUAAUCGGAAUUACUGGGCGUAAAGCGUGCGCAGGCGGUUGUGCAAGACAGAUGUGAAAUCCCNGNGCUCAACCUGGGAAUUGCAUUUGUGACUGUACGA
rnacentral:rRNA from 1 species